AAGUUAUCAACAAGCAAAACAAACAAACGAUCCCAGAUGCUUAGCCCGGCAGGGAGUCAACUUAAACUUGGCGGAAACCCUGAUAUGCAUUGCUAACCCAACUUUUAACUUUACUGGUUAGCUUUGAAAAGCUAUUCCCACAAGACGUAGCGAGGUAGCUCCUCCUUAAACAUGCAAUAGGCAUCUCUACUUAAUAAUAGAACUUAGAAGAGGGCAGUUGAGUGUUUUUCCACCCAAGAGGAUAAUUUAGUGUAUUUUGCCUCCCAAUAGGACACUUUAGCACGCGUAUCGGUUCCCUAGAGGACACUUGAGGGCAGUUUAGCACGCGUUUUGGCUCCCUUGAGGGCACUUUAGCACCGUUUUGGCCCCCCUUGUGCACGCCACUGGCGUCGGAUAUAGCCCAGUGAUGACAGCCUUCCCUGCACAGUCUUAGAAAAGCUUAUGUCCUGCAGAUUUGACUUUUGAAAACUAGAGCCAAUAAAAAUGUGGGACCUAAUCUCAAUAUGUGGGACGUGGGACAUGGGAUACAAAUGCGGUGCAGUUCCACCUGGUCACCAUACUUAUAGUCUCAAAUUGCUUGUAUUUGAUGAUAAAAAGCAUACAUUAAGUAAAGCAGAUACAAGUGUUCAAGAAAGAGUUAAACUAGAUGUUACCACCUGUCUUUAAUACUUAUAAAGUCAAACAGCUCUCUAAGCUCCAUUCUUCUCCUCUGCAGUUCAUCAUUGCUGGAAUUGUUUCCAACCUGUUGUUCAAAUGUCCAAGAUUACUACCUGUGUCCAUCAUGGUCAACUGUGGCUCUAUUAUCAUGGCAGUAAUUGCAUGCUGUCUGAUAAGUGUUGACCUGUCUUACUGGAAUCCAGAAAAUGAUCAGCAUAUGAAGAUGGAGCUGCUUGUGCUUUUUGUGUUGGUGCUUGAGGUUCUUCUCUCUGCAACCCUCUGCUUCUGGUUCUUCAAAG
rnacentral:lncRNA from 15 species